CGGAACGGGUGAGUAACGCGUGAGUAACCUGCCUUACACAAGGGGAUAGCCUUUGGAAACGAAGAAUAAUACCCUAUAAAACUAUAAAAGCACAUGCUAGAAUGGUCAAAGUGCUAGCGGUGUAAGAUGGACUUGCGUCUGAUUAGCUAGUUGUGAGAUAAAAGCUCACCAAGGCAACGAUCAGUAGCCGGCUUGAGAGAGUGUACGGCCACAUUGGGACUGAGACACGGCCCAG
rnacentral:rRNA from 1 species